AAGGGGAGAGGAGACGCCAAGAAGGGGAGAGGAGACGCCAAGAAGGGGAGAGCUGGUAGCAGCGUGGGAUAGUCCCAACCAAUGGUGGUCCGAGCCGGCCGAGAGAUGGUCAAUGGAUCAGAAUGAACUGAGAGAUGCUCAAUGAAUCAGAAUGAACUGAGAGAUGCUCAAUGGAUCAGAAUGAACUGAGAGAUGCUCAAUGGAUCAGAAUGAACUGAGAGAUGGUCAAUGGAUCAGAAUGAACUGAGAGAUGGUCAAUGGAUCAGAAUGAACUGAGAGAUGGUCAAUGGAUCAGAAUGAACUGAGAGAUGGUCAAUGGAUCAGAAUGAACUGAGAGAUGCUCAAUGAAUCAGAAUGAACUGAGAGAUGCUCAAUGGAUCAGAAUGAACUGAGAGAUGGUCAAUGGAUCAGAAUGAACUGAGAGAUGGUCAAUGGAUCAGAAUGAACUGAGAGAUGGUCAAUGGAUCAGAAUGAACUGAGAGAUGCUCAAUGGAUCAGAAUGAACUGAGAGAUGCUCAAUGGACAGAAUGAACUGAGAGAUGCUCAAUGGAUCAGAAUGAACUGAGAGAUGCUCAAUGGAUCAGAAUGAACUGAGAGAUGGUCAAUGGGAUCAGAAUGAACUGAGAGAUGCUCAAUGGAUCAGAAUGAACUGAGAGAUGCUCAAUGGAUCAGAAUGAACUGAGAGAUGGUCAAUGGAUCAGAAUGAACUGAGAGAUGGUCAAUGGAUCAGAAUGAACUGAGAGAUGCUCAAUGGAUCAGAAUGAACUGAGAGAUGGUCAAUGGAUCAGAAUGAACUGAGAGAUGGUCAAUGGAUCAGAAUGAACUGAGAGAUGGUCAAUGGAUCAGAAUGAACUGAGAGAUGGUCAAUGGAUCAGAAUGAACUGAGAGAUGGUCAAUGGAUCAGAAUGAACUGCAGUACGGCCUGUUUGUUCGGCAGAACUACAAAAGAGUGAAGAAGGAUGCCGUUUAAAUACUGUGAAGGUGGUUGAUGAAGCAAUUGGAUUCAGAUUCCCAUUGACUCUGAAUCGGACGAUGAGGACCUGCUUAGACCGGACGAACCAGACCCCAACGAACGAGAACGAAGGUUAUCGUGUCCAGGGCCCUACUCAAGCAUCAGAAGAUGAAGAUGAUUAUAGGGGUGAUGAGCCACAGCCAGAGCAUCUGCCUCCUCAGGCACAGCUUCCCCUUCCUCAGGCAGAGCCUCCUCUUCCACAGCCUGGCCGCAUGUCUAGACAACGCACUUCUGCUCCCCUCCCUCGGCCACGGUCUUCAUCGGACACUGAGUCCCCUGUAAAGAGCCCUCAACCCAAAAGAAAAGGGAAAAGCUUUGUCAAAGUCAGCGCAUCCAAGUAAGCGUGGUGGAGGGAGGCCUGCCACUCCAAGAGUCGGGGAGGAAGAAGAGGAAGAAGAGGAAGAAGAAGAUAGGUGGCAUAAUAGAGAAGAGAAUGUUGGACGACCCAAUCCGGUUUAUUCCCACCAGAGUCCCAGGCCCCACAAUCGACACCACUGCGUCAUGAUCUCCCCUUUCACUCUUUCAACUGUUUUUUUAGCACUUCGGUUGUCCGCACAAAAAUAAGCAACACUAAUGCAAAAUGCUGCCAAAAGACUGCAGUCCGGACUGGAAUUCGCUUGGAUACCACUAACGAUGAGAGAGUUUUACAUUUUUCCUGGCAAUUCUGCUAUACUCAGGGCUUUUCUCUGUACACGAGAGGGGCACCUACUGGAGGAAGGAAUGGCCAUAUAAUUUCUGCUUCCCUGGAGACACUAGGUCACUGCACUUGAGCAAACCAGAAGACGAUGAAGCCAACAACACUAAAAAAAAAAGGCACUGCAGAAUAUGAUAGACUUUUCGAGAUCAAGCCCCAUGUACAAUGAGCUUACCCAAUGCCUGCAAAUCACAUUUUCCAGCCAUACCAUAACAUCUCAAUAGACGAAAGGAUGGUGGCAUCCAAGGCGAGAAUAAGUAUGCAGCAAUACAUGAAAGCAAAGCCCACUAAGUGGGGGUAUAAAUUAUUGGUACUGGCUGACUCUCACACUGCUAAUACGUGGACUUUUUUUUGGUUAAUGAAGGCGAGAGUGUGUUCACACCAGACCAGGGACUAAAAGCUACACUUCAGUUAUGGACUUGAUGCCAUUCCCUCUACUUGGUGGGGGAUAUACACUUUUUGUAGACCAUUUCUAUUCUAGCCCUGCCCCUUUUUUGAGGAACUACGUAGAAGAAAGACUGGUGGGACAAUUAAAACAAACAGGAUUUUGUUUCCCACAAACCAAAAGGAAAAGCCAGAAAAAGCAGAAAAGGGGGAGAUUUGCAGUGGAAAAAGGAAAUGUAUUAUUUGUAAAAAUGGAUGGACACACGUGAAGGAUUUAGUGGACAAACUGUCAAAAGGAAGGUGAAAGAGGGUGGUGUAUGGCAGACUAAAACUGUGCCCGUCCCAGAUGCGGUAGCCGACUACAACCGGAGCGGAGGGUGGAGUGGAUUUAUCCGACGCAUUGAUUGGAUACUACAGUGUUCACCACAAGACGAUGAAAUGGUAUAUGGCUUUUCUUUUUCAUUUUGUUGAUAUUGCUGUUGUAAAUAGUUUCCUACUUCACAAAGAACUCCAUAAGAACAACCCCACUAAGCCGUACACACAGAAGAAGUUCAGGGAAAAAGCUACUCACAGAAAUGGCGAGCUUUGCUAAACAGUCUGAACCACAACCUCCACCACGACCACCACCAACAUCCUGCAUGCCAGAAUACUAUGGUGACGGUGCCAGCAAAGACAGGAAGAACUGUAGGAGAUGUCUGGAUGUUGGCAUCCCCAAAGUGAAAACCCCUGUGUACUGCAGGAAGUGCCAAGUCCCUUUGUUCCUUACAUCAAAGCGUAACUGUUUCAAGGAUUGGCACGACAGCAAGUUUUAGGGUAAAAAGGGGUCUACAUUUUGUGUGACAACCCCCCAAGGACACCAUAUCAUUGUUUAUAGUUUUGGGAUG